GUACUGUACGUGCAUGCAACCCUAUCUUUCAAUAAAUUGAAUUUCAAGUCAAUACGUUCACUCAUGAUCAGUAUGAUCCUUACACCUAAAGCUAAUGCAUGGGUUGGAAAGAAAUGAUGAAAGUAACAUUAUUAUUAUAGUCUUACCAUCCCAAGACUUCGUGGCAUACCCGCCGAAAAUAUAACUGCCAACUUUAAUCAAGGUAACUGUUGGUUUCUUGUUGUCACACAUGCUGUGGAAGGUACUGGCUGCCCAUCCAUCUCUUGUUGCACGCCAACACAGGCUCGCAUGAGUAAAGCUUCCCCCGAUCCAUAAGUUUAAUAAUUGAUCGUAGUAAAGUUCUCCAGAUAAUAUGACUGAUUCAGAAAACCUCGGAUCU